GAUGAACGCUGGCGGCGUGCCUAAUACAUGCAAGUCGAGCGAACGGAUAAGGAGCUUGCUCCUUUGAAGUUAGCGGCGGACGGGUGAGUAACACGUGGGUAACCUACCUAUAAGACUGGAAUAACUUCGGGAAACCGGAGCUAAUGCCGGAUAACAUUUGGAACUGCAUGGUUCUAAAGUACAAGAUGGUUUUGCUAUCACUUAUAGAUGGACCCGCGCCGUAUUAGCUAGUUGGUAAGGUAGCGGCUUACCAAGGCAACGAUACGUAGCCGACCUGAGAGGGUGUUCGGCCACCCUGGAACAGAGAAACGGUCCAGACUCCUACGGGAGGCAGCAGUAGGGCAGCUUCCGCAAUGGACGAAAGUCUGACGGAGCAACGCCGCGUGAGUGAUGAAGGUUUUCGGAUCGUAAAACUCUGUUAGUAGGGAAGAACAAAAGUGUAAGUAACUGUGCACAUCUUGACGGUACCUAAUCAGAAAGCCACGGCUAACUACGUGCCAGCCGCCGCAGUAA
rnacentral:rRNA from 1 species